GGAGUAUUGGGCAAUGGGCGCAAGCCUGACCCAGCGAUGCCGCGUGUGUGAAGAAGGCCUUAGGGUUGUAAAGCACUUUCAGCAGUGAAGAAAUGCCGGGAGCUAAUACCUCCUCGGUUUUGACGUUAACUGCAGAAGAAGCACCGGCUAACUCCGUCCCAGCAGCCGCGGUAAUACGGAGGGUGCGAACGUUAAUCGGAAUUACUGGGCGUAAAGCGCGCGUAGGCGGUUUGAGAAGUGGGAUGUGAAAGCCCGGGGCUUAAACUGGGAAUUGCAUUCCAAACUGUCAGGCUAGAGUAUGGUAGAGGGAGGUAGAAUUUCCUGUGUAGCGGUGAAAUGCGUAGAUAUAGGAAGGAAUACCGGUGGCGAAGGCGGCCUCCUGGACCAAUACUGACGCUGAGGUGCGAAAGCGUGGGGAGCAAAC
rnacentral:rRNA from 1 species